GGAGCCUGUAGCUCAGUUGGGAGAGCGCUCGGUUCGCAUCCGAGAGGUUCGCCGGUUCGAGUCCGGCCAGGUCCA
rnacentral:tRNA from 1 species